AAACCUCAACCCCAAAAUGAAUCUAAUGGCAUAUAUAUGCAGAAUGGCUGGGAUUCCUGCCCAGUACUCAAGUCACACUAGUAAUUUAUUUUCAUGAAAAGUAUUGUUUUGGAGGAUCAUUGGAAAGCUAAAAGAUUAAGUAGAGCUGUGGCAUGCUUAAAAAACUUCUUUGAGGUGGCAAACAGAGACAAAGUGUUUUCUACUGGGCCUUGUCAACUAGAAGCUGCUGUUGCAUGUUGUUCUUGAUUCAGCUCAAGGAGUCAGUACUGUGAUCGUGGUGCUGCCUGCUGCUAGGAAAUGGUCUGCUUUUGAAGUAUGUAACAGAUGGAUCAUAGAAUCAGAGAAUGGCUUGGCUUGGGAGGGACCCAAAGGAUCGUUCCAACCCCCGUGCCACAGGCAGGACCCCAACCUACAGGGGGGAAAAAAAAGGAUCUUUAGACCCCUUCUUUUGAGUGCCUAGUGGAAGGCUGUACCAUCAGAUAUUCUUAUCAUUCAGAUACUUGAAUGAUAUUUCCUUAAUUUUUGCCUGAGUAUUCUUAGGUGGAGUAAAGUGAGAGGGGAUGUCUGCAUCUACUUCGAGAGAGAUGGUUUCUAAUCUGUUUCAUAUCUUCUUUUAUUUAUGAGGAUCUAAGGAGUUCUACCUUCAGGUUCUUGGCUGUGGAAGACGUAUUUAUGGAGUCUAGAUAUUUACUGCAGUCAGCCAUAAACUGCCUGACAAUACAGAGUGAGCAGAAAUUCCUAAUGAAACAUCAGCUUCUGUUGUGUGAAGAGUCUGAAGAAGUGGAAGAUGUGCAAAAUUUGGAGAUAAUGCAAGCAAUUUCAAGUUGAAGGAAAACACAUUUGUCAUAUCAUUCUGUUAAAGGUAGAUUGUACUCAGUUUGUAUCUAUACCUGCAAAUUUUGGGGAGCUAUAAUAAUAACUAAGAAAAAUGUAUACUGUGUUUUUACUUAAUUUAUUUUUCUCACCUGAUGAAUUAAAUUUGAAUAGUUGGGAAGGAGUAAUUAUUUAGAGUAAUUUUGCUAUAACUCUUAAAUGUAUUGUCUGUGAAAACUGGCAUAAAUUCUACAAAUGUGAAACUAUCAGAUGGUUUAAGCUGUAUUUUUUUCUGUAAUAGUGUUUGCUUGUACUUAAUGUAAUGCCUAUUAAAAAAAAUUACACCAUCUUGCUGUUAAGAAUUUUAUUGGUAGUAUUACAAAGCAGCAGACUUGGUUUGUAGUUUUUACUCAGUUUUCAUCUAUGUAGUGUUAUGAUCCUAAAGUAAGAAAUUAAAACAGCUCAGUUAAUUACCUUCUAACCACUGUGAUGUAAGGUGCCCAGUGACACACUUUACAUGUUGAUUUGCUAAUAUUCAUUCGUAAGCUGGUAAAACUGUUAUACUUGAUGUUAAAGAAGAAAUGGUUUAAGUUCAUAUUUUGGGAUGUAUUGAAUUCUUUUCAAAAGUAGAUAGCGAUAGCAAUAGCUUCAGGCUCAUCUUACUUGUUAAAAUUGGCAAAUUUUAUCUUGCUUUUAACCAUAAUUUUGAAGAUGUGAUGUUAUGAACAUGCUUAGGCUGAAAGCAUCCAAUAAAAACAGGUAGCUUACAGUAAUGGAAAACAUGACUCUGCACAAGUUGAAAAUAGAAAUUAGCUAAAAGGCAAAUACAUGGUGAUCCUUACAACAGAAGCAAAAUUUCAGCACUUCGUUAAUAAUUCUGACAUCUGGAUUGAAGGUCACUCUUCUGUUUCUUGUUCAGUUCUGCAAGCACUUCAUUAAUAGUGUUCGUGUGUCAUUUUUACUAAACCUUCACAGUUUAGCAAAACAGUUUCCGUGCUUCAAUAUUUCAAGAACCCAAAGCCAGAGACGUGCAGUCAUCAGAUUAAGGUACAACUUAAUUGAGGAAACUCAUUCUGCACACUUUUCAAUGACAGACAGUAAGGGUGGUGUGAGUUCUCUCAUCAUCCAUUGGUUUUGUCAUGAGAUGCAUACCUCAUUUCAGUGAUAAGGUGGUUGACAGUUGAUACCAUCGUAUCAACUGUUCUGUUUCCUUUAAAGCAAGACAAAUCAUGUAUUGCAGUUCUGCGUUUCACUUCAUUUAGACCUCAGAUCUUCAGUUCAAGACUUUUAGUAUUUAAAAUUAAGCUGUACUUAGUGUUAAUAGAGAAGAUUGCUGUAAUUAAUGAGUCAUUACUUCAUAGUUGAGUGAGGCAAAUUCGUCAACAUCUUUCCUGAGGAACCAUAUAAAUUAAAUCAACAAUAGCAUGCUUCUUUCCUUGAGUUCCUAUCUAAGUGUAUUGUUUUUGAAAUGAGAGCUAACAAUUAAAAUAUUCUGUGUAGUGUUUUAUUGCUGAGAAUUUGCUCUAUGAAAUACUGUUAUUGUGCUCCUUGUUGUAGUUUCCAUGGAAAUAAAUAAAGAGGCAUUAUAUUCAGAGCGGCCCUGCUAUUCAGACUACCUAGUCAUGUUCUGUGUCAGACUCUACGGUGCUUUGCAUGUAGUUGGUUCCUACCAAAACAGUACUUGAAACUUUUGUUAUAAAAUGUGUUGCAAUUGAGUGGACAUCUAUUUUUAUGGGCACUUCUUGUUACUUCAGUGAUCCUUAAAUGUAUGCCCACAUGUAACAUAACAACACAUGUAAAAGCUAGAGUUAAUUUUUGACAUGCUCGUGAGUUCCAAAUUAGACUGACUUUGUUAGCAGGUUUCCCAAGAGGAAGAGAUUUACCACAACUUACCGUGAAAAUUCUUAGAAUCACAGAAUGGCCUGAGAUAGAAGGGACCUCAAAGAUCAUCUAGUUCCUUGGUGUGGGCAGGUUUGCCAAGUAAAUCAAGCACUAGGUCAGGCUGACCAGGGCCCCAUCCAGUGUGGCCUUUAACAUCUGCAGGGAUGGGGCACCCACAGCUUAUCUGGGCCUCUUUUCUCUCUCAGUGAAAAAUUUCCCCUGAUAUCUGGUCUAAACUUCCCCUCUUUUAGUUUAAUAUCACUUCUCCUUGACCUAUCUCUGUUUACCUGUGUAAAGAGUUGAUUUCCAUCCAGGUUAUAAGCUCUAUUUAAGCAUUGGAAGGCUGCUAUCAUAUCUGUGCUGAGCCUUCUCCAGGCUGAACAAUACCAACUCCCUUAGCCUGUCUUUGUAAAGAGGUGCUCCAGCACUAUGAUCAUCUUUAGCCCCUCUCUCCAUAUUCCAACAGCUUCAUGUUCCUCCUGCACUGGGGGCCCCAGGCCUUGACACAUUACUACAGAUGGGGUAUCAUGAGGGUGGAGGGACAGUCUCCCUCUUCCUAUUGGCCCUCUUUGUCUUGAUGUAACCCAGGAUUCUGUUGGCCUUCUGGCCUCCAAGCCUAUCCUGCUGGUUCAUGUGAAGUUUUUUAUCUACCAGGACUCCAAGGUAACUCCUUUUCCACAAGGCUGCACUUGAAGCGGAGUUCUCCCAGUCUCUAGGUAUAUCUGGGAUUGCUCUGACCCAAGUACAACACCUCACGCUUGGCCUUGCUGAACCUCAUUAGGUUUACGAGGGCCUACUUUUCAAGCCUAUCCAGGUUCCUCUGGAUGGUUUCCCUUCGUUCUGUUGUGUCAACUGUACCACUCAGCUUGGUGUCAUCAGCAAACUUGCUGAGGGUGCACUCAAUCCUAUCAUUUAUGUCAGUGAUAAAGAUGUUAAAGCAUACAGUCCUAAACUGGGCUGCUGGUCUCCACCUGGACUUGACAACAACUUUCUGGUUAAUCAUUUUUCCAGUGAUAAUUCUGUUUCACCCUGAUUUUACUGUCCCACAUUCAGUGUCUGAUGUUCUCAGCUCCUGCUGUGUUGAACGCGCCCUAUUGUAAAGGUGGCUCAAAGCACAAAUAUGCAUAGGCUGUAUCCCUUGAUAGCAUUAGCUUUCUAAGUAAGAAUAGAGACAUUCUAAAGCAAGGGCUUUUGUUAUCUUUCUGAGCAUUGACCAGGUUCAAAACCAGCAGUGUUUUUCUUGUCAUGUUAGAGAAAGCUUUACAAUCACAUGAAUGCAGCAAUUUAAACCACAGGGAAAAUUACUAGGAUUCAUCAGUUUUUCUUAUCCUAUUUGUGAUGAAACUGGUUCAAAUUAUGCUUGAUAGAUGCUUAUACUAAACAUUGGUCUAAGAAUGCUGUUAACCCAGCUGUGACACUUUCAUCCAAAAAAUCAAUUAUCCAUGCUUGAUUUUAAUUUAUCGGAAUGUCUUUGCCAGGCUCCUGCUGUAGAUAGACAUGGGAGCACAGCGUGUUCAGUGACUGAAUGUUGUAUCUGUACCUGGAAACACUUAAAUUCCUGUAAAUUCCACAGCUUUAAUAAGAUUAUCUGUAAGGUUUACUCAUGAGGUUUAGCCUUCUGUAAAUGUUCACAUUUAAAUAUAUAUAUUCUGGAUUCUUCAAAACAGUAUUUGUAAUUUUAGUACAACUUGUGCUGGUGACUUCUCUGUUUGCAAAUGCUUUAUUUUCCCCAUCUCUAGAACAGUAAACAACUCUUAUCUAAGCACAGUGUUUGCAUCUGUUUUUACUAAAUAAAUUGCUAGUGAAGGGAGCCAUCUAUGAUAAUACUUGAACCUGUUUUACUGCAGACAGUAUCAAAGUGCUGGUGUUUUGUUUUGUUUUGUUUUUUUGUCUGGUCUGCUUGGUAAUUAUACACACUGCUUUCAGGAUCCUGUGGUUAAACUGAAACCUCUGGAGCAGUAAGGUGUGAAUGUCUCCUUUGUCACCACUGUUUUUGACCUCUUCAUAUGGAAACUCUGAGGGACACAGCUCAGCUCUGUUUCCUCUCUUCUGAUAUUGACCUCAUUCAUAAGGGUGUUGCUCCUGGUACUACUGAUAUCCUGUUGCUUUUCAUUAAGGAUUGGAGUGAGAAUUGAUUCUCACUGGUAUCUUACAACAAAGUCUUUCUUUUUUUGGAACACCUAGAUUGAUUUCAAUGCAAGUGUGUGCAUGUGCCAUUGUAUCAAUGAAUAUUCAACAAUAUGGCAUUGUACAAGAAACAGCUGCAGAGUUGCUGAAAGCUUCUUGGCCAGGUUACCUAGUUGGAUUUGGAUUGAACUAGUCUGGAUCUGAAAUUUUCUUCACUUUCACCUCAAGAGGUGACACUUGUGUUCUGCAAUGUUGUCAUCUUUUACAGCUGUCCUUUACAGUUGUGUGAAAUGUGACUUUGUGAUACAAAUGAGGAUGAGGGGCGCCCCAGCAUGUGAUCAAGAUCAGGUUUGAGAGAGGAGUGCUUAUUACUUUUUGUGACCGUACAAGGCUGAAGACAUUCUAAAUUGUCAUUCAUUAAACUAAUAAGGGUGUAUGCUUUUGUUUUGCCCUGACUUGAAUUUCCAUUCUUCUCUAAGUGAUCACAAAGAUUGCUGGGCUAAAUUCUCUUGAUGCGUGAUUGCCCUUUUCACAGUUCCUAGGCAGUAGGAGGGGAAGUGGGUGAGAUAUUAACUGAUUCUGAAAUCUUUAGCCACUGCCAGUCCAGUGACUGGACAAGGAGGUCAAGAGUGACCACACAGCAUCAGAUAUGGUCUGUGUAGGACCCCAAUCCUUGUACACCUCACCAUAGCUUAGGACAUUUAAGUGAAAAGUACUUAGCUGUUUCAGCAACCUGUUCUGUCUCAGGUAUUGUUGUUUUCUCGAGAAUGAGGUAAUUUAUAGUCUAGACUGACUUGGGAAGAUAAAAUCUCACCUGCCAUUUCAUUUUCCUCUUCCUCUUGCUUACUAGCAUGUUGCAGAGGACUGAGACCUGUAGUGGUCAUGGAGUUCAAAUGCCUGCUGCACACUAUGGUUGUGCUGUGAUUUUUACCUAACCUAAUUUAAUCUAAGAAGUAUGAGCUCAGCAGAGCAGGAGAUAUUUUGUGUGCCACUUCUAAGGCCAGCAGCAUUUUCAUAGAAUCAUAGAGUCACCAAGGUUGGAAAAGACCCACAAGAUCACCCAGUCCAACAAUCUACCCAUCAGCAAUAGUAAUGCUGUAUUGCCUCAAUGUUAAAGUGAUGGUACAUAUUUGGUGCAACAUUUUUUGAGACUACCUUUGAUGGGUUCUAAAAGUAUCUCAGUGCCAUAUGCAGUACUUCCAAAAGAAAGGUCCUGGUCCUGGUUGUCCCACAGGAUGCUUAGAAGUUGAAUGAGUACACUUCCUUAGAAGAAACUUCAAAGGAGAAGGAACAUCAAAGGAGAGUCCGUAUAUGUGGCUUUUUGAGUCCAAGGCCGCCUAAAACAAACUUGCAAAUUGGUAUCUUACUGAACAGAAAUAUGGUUGUAGCUACCGUAGAGUUACCUGGUGUAAUUAUACUUUUUUUCCUGGACUACAUGCAUUUGCUUUAGUUAGGGAUGUGGAGACAUGGUGCUGUCAUUAUUACAGACUAAAUGCUUAUUUAAGCACAGUACUUACUUGUAGACAGCUCCUGUAGGUUCUGUGCUUUAUGGAAAGAAGUUUAAUUUGUCUACUUGGCAAAUCACGUGGUAGACAAGCUAGCAGUAGGAACGCAGUAAUUUCUAAAACGUUGGUAUCAAGAAGUAAUUGAACAGUCCGGUAAAUUACUGCUUAGGACAACCCAAUAAUGAGACCUUGAGAAAUUGAGUCAUAGUUCUCAGUGGAUGAAAUUGCAUAAAUCUAAACACGUUAGUGAUCCUUAAGGGUUCUUUUUAAUAUGGGGGGAACUGAAUGCCAAAGUUGCAUAUAAAAAGCUCUGGUUCCUAGUGUGGCACAUAGGUUUCAAAGGUGCUUAGCUUUGGGGGUCAAUUUGAGAACAGACUGAAAUUUCAUCUUACACAGAAAUGUAGUUGGCCUCUUUCCACUUUGUGUGUGUAUUUAUACCAUGGUCACAUAUGUACUUUAAUGCUCUGCAAUAAAACAGAUUAUGGGUCCUGUUUGGCAGUGUGCUACUUUUCUUCCUGUGUUUUUUAGUAGUGGUAUUGCCUAUCUUAUAUGUCUCAUAAACCUUAGUGUCUGUGAGAUUUAAGGCUGCCUUAAACAUGGCGUGUUAUUUUGUUUGUUUGAUUGGUUGUUUUAUUGUAGUGAGGCAAAACUCAGCAGUAAAAUCUUAGUGAUCUGACUCAGAUUCAUUGUUCUGACGUUAGUGGUCUAGGAUAACCUUAGAUUCUUAGUUGGACUUCAGUACUGAGCACGAUAAGUGUGAAAAUCAUGCUGUGUGGUUAAGUUCUCUUCAGUUAUACGCCGAGACCACAAGUCCUUCCAGGAAAAAAACGAAGUGAAAGAUUUCUGGAAUGUCUGGGCUCAGUGAGUGUUCAGAAUUUCCCCAGUAACUCAGCUUCUCAACUGCAAUAGAAAAGACAUCUUCAGGAGAUAUAUAUGUGUAUAUACGGUUUAAUAGGAAAAAUAUCUCAACAGAAAUUUCUGUUCUGACUUUAAAUAUCAUUUUAUAUUUAGUGACUGUGGAAAGACAGUCCCCCACUCACACACCACUGGAGAAUUGUUGUUUUGAAGGAAAUAUCUUAUGGGAAAAGAAAGCAGUGGGUUUCUGAAUCUUACUGCUUUUACGUUGUAUCCCAAAUCUUGAGGACUGUCCCUUCAAAGUAACUUCUAAUUUUAUCAACUCAUCCCAUUCAGAUUCUGAAUCUAUUUAUUUGCAUGGUGGGAAAAAAAACCUCAUCCUAAUAUUUAGAAGUUUGUCCUGAAAGUUCUCAAUGAGAAGAGAGUUGCUCACGUUUAUAAUUUAUGGCUGUUGUAUUCUGAUUAUGGCUGCAAGCAUAAAGCAGUAUUGUACUUGGAAUAGAAUGUUCACCCUUCUGUAAGUUAUUUUACUUUUCCAAAUCAAAACUCUGUCUUCUGGCAGUCACCUAACUAAAAAUGUCAGCUAUGCAUUAAUUAAAAUUAAUGCUUUGUGUCAUUGGAACCAUAGUUUUCCUCUUUUCCUCAGAAAACUAAAAACAAAUAAACAAAGCAAACAAAAAAUCUGAACAAACGUAGAGGAUGUUAUAUUUAAGAUAAAUAUGUGAAGUGUAGUUUUUGGUUUCAAAAAUUGCCAUAUGUAGGGGUGCCAAAGUGAUGUGAUGGGGAGCACGGUAUUAGAGCAGAUGGUGUUUGCAUGUUGACAGUUAAUGGAAUUUUCCAGUGUGCGUGUGGGAAAAACUCAGAUAUUUUUGUAGGCAGUGUAAUGAAAAUGGCUACUUCAAUUAGAACCGCCUGUGUUUUUAUAGAGGGUGUACAAAGUUGAGGGCAUUACCUGCAGUUUUACAUAUCCUUUGAUGUGAGGGUUUGGAAUAGUAGCUAACAGGUCGGUGUCAUAGUCAUUCCAUUUGUAAACAGUUGGAUCAUGGCAGACGGAAUCCCAGAACAGCUAUUAAAGUGAAUGGUAUAAGCUAUAUGCAGCCGAGGAAGCAUUUAAAUUUUGAGUAUUUAAUGAGUAGAAUCAUUGGUGGCUGAUACUAAUUACUAUUUCUUAUUACUACACGCUGUUUCACUGAACAUAUCUUAUUCCCCUGAUGGACAGGAUAGCGACGGUUUAAAAUUUCAUUUCUCCCUUAGGGGAAGGGGGUUUUUAGAUGGAGAAUUCUAUACUGAAAAUCCCAACUUCCAACAUCACGCUGCACAAGCCUGUGUCAUACAGUCAUUGGUCAGCAGUAUAUUAAUAAGGGAGUAGGGAUGGUUUCAAAAAUAGCUGAAUAUUAUUUUAAAUAAAAGCAGUGGAAGAUAUUCUAUGAACUGCAAGAAAGCAGCAGCUGGCAUUUAUCAGAAGGAAUAGUUCUCUUCAGGUUUCCUUAAACUACAGGCACAUUUUUUGUCUUUAUGAGCCGACAGACUUGGUGUUGCUGGAAGAAUUUUAUUCUGGUCCCUGCCGCAGCAGAUGCAAACAUCCUGGUUCAUUUACAAGAUCAAGCAAUGUGCUGCACAGAGUGCUGUGAGGUGUGGACAUCUCACCAAACUGUACAACACAUUGGCAAAAUAAACUUCUCUCCAGGUGUUUAUCCGUGUUGUGAAAUUCAUACCUACAGAGGAAAAAACAACCCCAGAACUUUCAAUACAGAAAGCAAGUGAAGAUGGGACAUAAGAGGAAUGACAGAGUAGUAAUUCUGAUACAGUGUUAGAAGUGUUGUUUCCCAACAUUCUGGGCUUAUUCCUUCAAAAAAAUGAAUCCUGGAGCUCAGAAGCUCCCAUCAUCGUGCUGGCUCAGUUCUAAUAAAGCUUUCUGUAUUCCUGUGUUUGCCUGUCGUAGCACUGGAGCCCUCAUGUAUUUCUUUCCUGUUCCUUCUUGAAACUCUCAACAUUUCCCUUCAGUGUCUCCAAAGCUUUCCUUCCCCUCUGAAGUGAAUUGCCGCAGUCCUCUUGUUUCACACCCCCCGGCUGUUCAGGAAUGGUGCUUUCUCCAGUUCUCUCUGCCCUUUCUCUGUAGACUCUGUAUUACCAUCUCCUUAUAAGCCCUUGCUUGUUGGAGUUAUUCUUGUUGGAAUCUGGGCUACAAAUAAUCUUUCCAUGCAGCAAGUUGCUGCCUCUGAUAAAUGUGGGCUGCAGCCAGCGGUUGGCAGGGAGAUUUGCUCGUUGUCAGCCCCUGAAUUGUGAAUUAGGCUUUUCUGGUACUUCUCAUUUGCACCAAAAUCAAUGACAUUGUGCUUAAUAAUGCUGCCUGCAAUUCUGAAAUUGAUCUGGUCUAAUAUUGUGUGAAGAAAUGCAUUCAGUUGGGUGCUGGGCUGUAGAUACUUCUGGAAGGCUACUUACAUAAGCUCCGUUAGAGCAGAAGUAAUGUUCUGUCUGUGAGAUUUGAUUCUGAAGUGUGUUUUAAAUAUGUACGGCAAGUGUUCGUAUUGACUAUAAUAUAUAAACUGAAAAGGCUGUGUGGGUCUGAUUUGUGUAAGCAUUUUCCAUGGGAAUCCCAGUGCCUUAUAUGGUCAACUUGCUUUGUAGUGUUUCAGUGAAAUGAAGGCAGCCAUCCAACAAAAAAAUAAACAGCCCAGCUGGCUUUAGCUGUGUCUAUAAUACCCUCUUUCUUGGCCUCCUUCAGUAGCACAGUAGCUAAUUAUUAAAACUGAAAAUGUGGCAAGAGCCUAUGUAGCUAGUGGAAGAAAUUGCUUUUGUGGCAGUGACUGUAUGCUGAGGAGAUAAUGCUAUUUUAAUAAAGAGUAGUAACACACGGAUAAUACAGCUUUGUUGUAUUCUGAACUUUCGCUAUCAGAUCAGUUGUUGUGCCUUUCCCCAAGCUUGUAAACUGAUGAUAAUUCCUGUAGUUGCUAUAAACAGAAUUAGCUGGCACAGUGCGGCAUCCUUUUUUUCUGUAUGUUUGACCUGUUUGUUCACUGCUUGAAGAGAUGCUAACACUUCAAAUAAGUGUCUGUUGAGGCUUGCAUAUGCAGCUGUUGCUUCAGAGAGACCUGGUUCAGGUUCCUCUGGAAAGAGUGGCACCAGUCAUUGGAAAUGACUGUGUUUGUAGUGAGGUGCAAGCUACCCUGUAUUUACUCCCAAGUAUUAGGGUGCACGUAGGCUUUACUGUAAUUCUUCCGUGGUAACUUACAUACCUGUACUUUAAAAAACCCUCCUGAGUGAGAGACUGCAACUAAUCACAUCUCUUUAUCCAGAUACGUGGAAUCCUGUUUUACUGGAACUAUGAUCAGUUGAGAAUGUAAGUCUCAGUACCUUUCUUUGGAAUAUCGGUGAAAAGCACAAACAUAUUCUGUCACAGAAGGAAUAAACAGACACUUUCUUUCUUACUUCCUGUGCCAAGAAGAGCAUGCAAUAGAAGUGCUACAGUGUUCAUGGGGUUUGUACUGAAGAGGGUGUUUUCUUUUUUUCUCUAUCUAGGCUGCCUGAGGCCUUUAAGACUCUUUCAGUUAAUCACAUAGCUCCAGUGCCUGAUUUGUGUUAAAAGGAAAGGCCAAUCUUCUGAGCUCAGUAAUAAGUCAUCUCUGCUUCUGCUGAUACGAGGCAUUCCAAUCAGCUUUCAGAAAGCAGCUUUUGUUUUAUGAUGGCUCUUGGUCCCAGCUCUUGCAAGCUUCCUGUAAUGACUUCUACUCCUUGUCCUAGCAGAAGGGGUGAACAGCUGAUUCCUACUCACUUUCUCCAUAUAAUUUAUGUUUUAUAAUAGUCAUCUAUUAUAUGGUCUUCAAAGUAAUUUUUUUCUAGGCUGAAGAGUCGUGUAGUACUGUACAGUGUUAUAUUUAAGUUACUUUCAAACACGGCAAUUCAGAUUACAGGAACAGCACAGAUGUCAGGUUGCUGCAGACCUCUGAAAUGCAUUUAGAGAUGUGCUAGUACUGUCUGUGCCAUGACCUCUUUGCCUUCACUAGCACAGAGGAAGAAGCCACAAGAUGCAAAAAUAGAGUAGAGAUGGCAAGUGAGUCAGAGGAGAGGGGGCAGAAGGGAGAUGUCAGAUGUGGGCUGGCUGUCAGAGUGAACUACAAGUUAGGAAAAUUAAAUGGUGGUGUGGAAAAGGAAGUGGGGUAGAAAAGAUAAUACUGGAAACAUCAAAAUAGUGGAACUUGAAGGUGGAGUACUGGAUGCCAGGUAGUUAAUGUAAAUGGUGAAAUCUGUAUUUGGACUUUGAUGCAUUAACCUCAUAAUUCUUUAAUUUAUUAUGUAAUCAUACCUGUCUUAUAGGGCUCGAAUAAAGGAUUUGCUCUUGAGAUAAUACAGACAAACCAAUUAAAGAUGCUGUUGUGUGGGAGACAUCUGCUGUGUCAGUGGGAGGAAAAGAAGAGAAUGGUAUAUGGGGUAGGAGACUGCAGAGAGUUUUGUAGAAGCAGAAUAUACUUAUGGCUGAAAGUAUAAUGAAAGGAAACUUCUUCAUAUGUAUGAAAUGGUGUCUAUUCUAAAAUCUCAGUUUUGUGGCAUUACAAAUAGUGUGGAAGAAUCAGGGAAUACUACUUACGAUGACAUUGUUUGUUUACCGCCUGUAAGAUGAUACCAUUCUUUCGUGCCAGAGAUUUUAUGAAAGUACUGCUUAUGCACCUAAAUGGUGAUAAGCAUUGAUGUGUAGACGAGCCCAUGAGGCAGUGAGUUCUGUUAGGAACAAAGUAUGAGUACUGUGGGCCAAGCUGUGAACAGUAAUGAAAAAUCCAAAGUUUUGAAUAGCUGCACACUGACCAUCUCGUAGACUGGCUGAAUUGAGAUGCUUUGAACACAGAGGAGUAGUGAUCACGUAGGACUGUACAUAGGUUGUAUGCUUGUGUGGCCAGUUGAUUUGGCUUGAGCAUCAUUAAUUAACAUAUUUCUUAGUCCUGAGGUAUUUGUGUGUUUCACCUUACUAUUGCUCAAAUAUAGGUCUGUGCAUAAUGUUUAAUGUAAAAGUAGAGUCCUUAGAGAAGCAUAAAGCUUAAGCGCGUUUAAUAUUGUAAAUUAAGUGGCAGAACAGCUUUCCCCUUCAGGAAUUCUUGUCAAGAUGUGCACCAUAGAGAAGAAGCAAGCUCAAGGCAGCAGAGGUAGUCUCCUGGCUCAUUAAGGGGUGAGCUUCAGUUUUCUGUUUAAUGUGGAGGAAGUUUCUUACUGUGCUGUUUUUGAGGUAUAUGAAGCAUAGCCCCUGGCCAGAUGGCUGCAUAUUUCACGAGUCUGAAUUGAGAACUCUUCCUCAGUACAGUUUGCACAGUAGAGCUUUUGGUUUGCAGGAGGAGUGGAAGGUGACUGAGUAGCAGAGAAAGCUGCGUGGGCCUCUGUCAGUUUGUCUGGGAUGGGGAAAGCUGGGAGUCUUCCUGUCAAAGCCUACUCUUGCCCUUGGCACUGCCAUGUCCCUGGCAGGGCCCCUGAAGUGCCGCCUGCCCCAGUGCUGCAGCACCUGGGCUUUCCCCAUUUUCAGGCAGUGUGCAUACCUUCUCUAUAUAAUGAAAUCUGUUUCAUUCUUCGCAUUUUCUCCCCUUGGUACUUGAGCUGUUGUUCCUAAGUAUUUACAGGAGAAAUGCACUUAGUAAAGUCAGUCCCACUGUUUUGAAUAAACCCAGAGCUUUUAAACCUGACUUUCAUUUCCAUGCUCUUUGAUAAUUAUAAUAUUUAACAAGCAGUCUGAUGUACAGGAAGCAAACUUCAAAGCAUUUACAAUCAGUUUCAUGAUGACACACACACUGCUAAGGACAGGUAAACAACGGACUUCUGGGUUCUCGAUUCUUUGAAACUGACACAGUACUACUGGUCAGGAGGAGGCCAGUGUGUGUUAUGCCCUGGUGGGAUUUAGAGAUGUCAGUGGUCUCUUAAAAAUCACAAGCCAGCACAAAGGAUGUACUACCCAAUUAGAAAUGCAGGCUUUUACCCUUUUCUCCAGAAUUGGUCCUGAGAGUGAGCAGUCAGAAGUGGCUGCAGGUCCAGGUGCAGCUGAAAUAAUAAUAAUGCUUCACUGCCCUGAAAGGGUGUGCUCUUGCUUCUUCCUCCCAGCACGUUUUUUCCUUCCCCUGAGAGUCUGACAAUGCUUUUGGGAGUGUGCAGUUGAGAAUUAGGAGGGAGACUGGGACCUCCCUGUUUGUCAACAGUGAGCUCUUGCAAAAUCAUGCCCUGGGUGGUUAGCUCAAAGAUGUUAUGCUUUGCUCGUUUUAUAACACUGCCUUGUGCAGAACAGAAUAUUGCCUAAAACUCAUCUUGAAAUGCAGAACGUUAUUCAAUAGGAAGGAUAUUUUACAAGUACUUUGAAACGCUGUCAUCUUCUGAAGGUCAGAGAUUCUAAUGAAUUUUCGUAGUUGUUGGCCUAGUUGUUAUCAGCUGGGAGAGCGUUUCUGUGUAACUGCCAACAUCCAAGAGACUCAGUUAGGAUACUUUUGUGUUUUUAUCAGCGGCUGACUAAAUAACUGACCAAAGUUUUCUUUUACUGAAUUUUUAAAAGUGGCAAUGCGUGCCAGUAAGGACGCUUGAAGAAAUUUUGACUGAAGUGCAGCCUUCCUGCAAAGUGUCACUGUUGUUGAAUAUAAGUGAAUAUAAGUACUUAGCCAUUUUAAGACAUGCGUUGAUUUCCCAGAGAGUUCUUUUCAGGGCCUUGAAACUGAUGUUCUACACUUUCCACAUCUGUUAGAUGGCACUGGCAUGGUAGAAACAAACCACUGCAUGUGUAAACACAUAUGAAUUUCUGGUGCUCUGGAAAAAGAGCAGGUGAUGUGAAUGUCUUGCUGAUUUUGGUGAGUGUCCUCAAUUGACUAUUUACGUAGGUAUGGCAUUUUCCUGUUGGCUGCUUGAAUGGGUAAAUUUGCUCUUCAAAAGGUUAAUAUGAAGUAUAAAACUUACAGGUAACUAGAUUACAUGUUUAACUUUGUGCUUGGUUUCUGAGGACCCAGGGCUCUGUAGAAGAUGGGGAAAAUACAGCUGCGUCCUUUCCUCUUUUACAAGUUCCUUCCUAGACAUUUUCUACUGCACAAAUAGAACAUGUCAGUGGAGGCAUAAAAACGAGUGUCAGGAGACAGUAGUUGCUUGCUGCUCCUCUCUACAUUUCUGUCUCCUUAAAUAGGAAGGUCUCUGGAGGAAGUGUGGUGGAGUCAGCAGAGAACUCGGGGACAGCAGGCGGUACCUCUUCAGGCAGUACUUAUCACACAAAUUAGACAGUGACAACAGCUGUGACCUGGAGAGUCCUUAAGUCCUGCCACGUGAGAUUCUGCAAGCGUACAGUGCUGGUGUUUGGUGGCAGUGGGGAAGGUGGCACAGUGUGAGCUGUAGUGUACACACAGCUCGGCCAGAAUGGAGCUAGAGAUGUCGGCAGGGGGGCACACAACAGUUUGAAGAAUAGUAAGCUGCUUUUUUAAAAUGCUGAUCGCUGGUGUAGCAUUCCUGGUACUGGCUUUCUUAAUAUAAUCACAGAAAGUCAAUAUAUGGCUGUUUUUUUUUUCCUUCCUGUAUAGAAUAUGUAUGGAGCUGAGGGGUCUGGUUUGCUUUUCCCUUUCAUUUUGUGAGAAGAAUAUUAAUAGUGGUUUCAGAUGCUGUCUACAGAGCUAUUCCUCUAAAAUGUUCCCUUUCUGCUGGCUUUUCACACAUUAUGUGCCAAGACAGUGGAGAGGUUUUGGUACUUGGUAUUUUUUGAGGGCCUAUUAGGGCCAAAAAAUGAGGCAUGUGUUUAAUUCAAAUCUGGGGGGACAUUUAUGAGGAUGUCCUCUGACAAGGAAGCCUGUUGAGGCUCAGCAGCUACUGUGUCUUUGCUACAUGAAUGCUAAUGAGCUUUCUUAAGCAUUUACAAACAGAGACAGUUGCCUGUGUUGAGUCAGCUUUCAUAUGGCAAUGCUACAGGUGUAAAAAGCCUCAGUGGGCCCAAGGUGGUUCAAAAUAGUGAUCGCUGGUGCCCUGGGUUUUAGAAGUGAGAGUCAGUCUGGGUCUCUCAGUGUUGGUCACUGGAUCUGGCUCAGUGAUGCCAAAGUGCAGUGAAGCUGAGUGAGCCUUUGAAGCAGUGUAGCACUGGCAUGGCAUUCCUUCUGAUAAUGAGCCUAAUGAAUGUCAGUUAUCUUGACAUGUCACGGAUGUUCUUUUGUUGUUUUAAGUUCUUUUAACCAGCACAUCUCCUAAUGCAGCAUUACCAGUCCUCUGCUGUUUCUCAGGUAUUUCAAGAUCUGUUCAGAAAAUAAGUAUCAGCAGACUUGAUGCUGCCUUGAGUUCUUCAAUAAUGGCUAGAGAGCUGCCUCAGCAGACCUGUGAAGCCUGUUGAGUUACAUAGUGGGGUUUUAGCAUUUAUUUUAUUACUCGUAGAGUGAUAGGUAUAUAAUCCUUAUUGUGUAAUACAAAUUAAACCUUCUCCUUCUUUCAAAACACCCAGAAGAGAUAUUUGUUGACCAAUUCACUCCCCCCUGUAUUAUUCAUAUAUAUCUGAACAUCAGUGGCAGGUUUUUUCCAAUUCUUAAUAUACUUAAGAAAUGCCUUAGCGCUUGUGCCCCCACCAGCUGUGCUUUUCAUUGAUGUUUAUAACUAUCCUUUACAAGUUUCUACAGCUAAUACUGGUUUAUACCCUUUAAAAUUUUUAUAGUGUAAAUAUUGUAUUUUUAAUUGCCACUGUUGUUUGGCUUUAUGUGCACUAUUGUACUUUCCUCAUCAGAUUGCUUUCUCAUGUAGAAUAGCUGCUUCUAAUCCAUGUGGUACACAUUAGAAAAAUGAAGAAGGAAGCUCUUUUACCACUUUUGAAAUGUCAUGUAUGUAGACUUGAUAGAUGGGUAUGUAUAAACUUAGUUUCACUUGUUGACUGUUGUCUUCCUGUCCAUUUUUUAAUGUAAUGGGGAAGGUAGGUGGUUUCCUAGGCACUUGUGAUUGCCUGCAAUUUGUUCAUUAAUGUCAUAAUGAGUUUAUAAUGGGACACGUGUACCAUGGUAUUUCCUGUAGAGAUAUAACAGAAAGAGUCAGGUGUCAAAGCUGGUGUUUUUUGCCAUGGCCUUUUUGGGAAAGAGAAGGUCCACAAAGUGGGUGUCGUCUUAUGUUUGUAGCUGGAGGUAGGAGUGGGAAUUCUGCUGGGCUGGUGGCAGAACACAAAAGUGAAUGCAGAGCUUUGUCCUUCUAACCAGGAGGAUCAUCUGUGUGAUGUGACUGGCCUAUUGGAAAUAGAGUAUUCAGUUACACUGUGGCAAAAAUGCCCUUUUCAGAAGUUACAAACCAUGUCUGUGUAGAUGAACAGCUGUAUAGCCAGCCUUUGAGAGAAAGGAAGUUGGUGUGGGGUACGCUUUUUCUUUAUUCUUAUACCUAACAGGAUUACAGUACAUAUGAUAAUCAUCUUGUUUGCUUAUACAAACAUUUUUGAUUACUAUAUUAAAACAUUGCAGUGCAUUUCAUGUAAGCUAUUUGAGAAGAUUGUUUAGCAAAUUUAACUAGGGCACAGUGUGAGUGCACCCUGAUUUAACUAGGAAGAAGAGAUUCCUGAAGUGCCUACUCUGGUUUGAAUUUUGGCUUCGGGUGCAGUUUGUGUCAAUCUUAUCCUCUUAUGGAGAGGAUUUUAUGUCUUAGUGAUGUUUGUCUGUUGGAAGUACCCUACCUUUUGGGGAUCACAGUGACAUUUUUUUCAACAGAUCAGAUUAGGUGUUCAAAGUGAUGCCAAGUGUGUGUCUGCACUGGAAAAUAAAAACCAAUUACGUGUCAUGGAAUUUGUCAGUUUGUCCGUCAACAUUGUGUGUGCCUUUGGUACUCCUGAGUAAUGCCUUCGGUCUUCAGCUUAUCAGAAAGGGAAACCACUUCCUCGUUUCCUGAGAUAUGUGGAUGAAUAUAUUUCUGAAAUCAGAAGUGAACUGAAUAUAUUUCUGAAAUCAGAAACACACUGAGCUAUUUUAAAAUUUACUCAUGUACAGCAACCAUGUGGUUUUGAUAAACUUCAGUGUAUUUACCCACAUAUAAGAUAAUACACAAUGCCACUUUACUUGCUUCCCAUUUAAUUUUUGUGUCCAUGCAGGUGCAACAUGGUUAUAUUAUUUCUUUAUAUGCUUAUUUUAUAUAUUUCAUUAAAUUGUACAAAUUAGGAGUUUAUUUACAGUUUAUUUAAUCCUACUUAUGGAUUAAAAGCCUUGACUGAUACCAUCUGAGCCAGCAUAUUAACACUAUUCAUUUGCUUCUAGUAUUUCAUAUAAGGAUGAGGAUUAAACCACACGUAAUUAGUGCUAAUUGGAGGAAGUAUGCAUAGAUGCAAAUUGUACUAGCAAAUUUGAGCAUCUUACUGCCUUUUUGUUCCUGUAAUCAUGGUUUCUUCUGUUAAACUUGCUUUUUCCUGAAAAUAGUAAACUGAAAUAGAAAAAGUGAGCUCACAGAAAGUCUGUCUCACAUAAUUCAGUAUUCCCAAUCAAAAUCUGAGCUUUUUUUUUUUUUUUGCCUGAAGGAAUGGAGGCCUAUCAUUGCUUUUAUGAAAUUCAGGGUUAUUACUUUUAUUCUACUCAGCUAAGCCACUUCUUGUGGCUUAAAUAAGGAAGCACUGAAGAUCUACUGAGGUCCCACUCAAGCAGAGGGUGAGGAGGCCAGGUGACUUGUAGCUUUCUGCUGUAGUCCCUAAGAGUUCACAGCCCGUUCUGUUUGCUUCCUGUCUUUUCACACCAAGAAAGCAGAGUUUUCCCCAUUGAAGAACUAAUAGUUAAGAACUUUGUGGAGGUAAUAGUUAGACACAGAGGUAAAAAGGGGAAGUUAGCACUUGUGUUUUAAAUUAAAUCCAAGAAACUAACUUAACAAACCUAUUUAUAUAAGCAAAUUCUAUAAUAAGUUUUCUUGAUGCCUUUUUGUGUUGCUGGAUGUUUAAUUUGGUUAAGAAAUUGUAUUAGGGGAUAUCAGAAUGUUAGGUAUUUUAAACUGAAAAGCUGCUUUGGCAGCUUUGUUUAGCUUGUUUAGUUGCCAGUAUGCUAAAAGAAGAUUAUGUUUGGGAAAAAAAAAAAAUAAGAAUUUAAAAUACAAUUGGCAUAUUCUUUAAUUUGUCUGGGGCAUAAAUACAUAUACUAUAUGACUCUUCAGCCUUCUUCUCAAAUUUAACGUUUCCAGAUUUUAUUACCAGAUUUCUGUCAUGAGAACUAGCACUAACUGCCAAAACAGUUACAAUAAAAUCAUAGCUGCGUUUUGGCACUUUAUUUUUACAGUAUAAAAUUUUUGCUUACUUCUGAUCUAAGAAGCAUAUUUUUAAACUAAUGAAGACUGCUUCUGUUCUUAUCAGCAGAUAGUGCAGAGUGCUGUGUAUCUGUGUCACAGUGAGCACAGUGCAGCAGUCAAGACUGUUGUAACUGUCUCAGAAAGUAAACUGUGAAGACUCAGCUCAGGAGAGUGAGGACGCCCCAUUUGUGAAAUGCCUUUCUGUUCAGACAGCAGUUUCUGUGGCCUGAAAGUCUGUUCUGGAUUUAACUCCCAUAUUCCGGCACCCACAGAUUUGGUGCCUUUGAACAAAUGACAGAAGUUUCACCAAUGUGUAUGUAAAAUGUGAAUCUGUCAUAUGUGAUUUGUGCAUAUAUACAUGCCCAAGCCUUUAGGGUUCAAAAAGUCUUGGGAAUUUGUACAUCAUGUUAGCUGUAAUACUAUACUGUCAGUCAGAUCUUCUUUUCUCCAUUUCUGUCAGUGAACUCGUGCUCUUUCACCUGCGGUGCUAUUACAAAGCUAAUGAGAAAUCUGAAUCUACAUCUAGAAGCAUGUUUUGUUGUUCUGUAGAAUGCACUGGAACAGCAGAAUUUCAAGUGUUCUUGAAAGCAGAUUUGCAUGCAGCUAAACAAGAAAGCGAACAAAGAAAUGAAAGUAGAUUUGCACGUAAUAUUAGGUAGCCAGGUUUUGAGGUUUGUUUGUUUCUUUUGAAUGAAAAUACUAAAGCAUUGACCUGUGUUGUUUUCUCCAUAAAAUGUCUGUAGGAGUGAGUCUUGAUCCAUUCCUGGGAUUCCCAGCAGGAAUGAUAGCAUCUGUGGUUAUAGCAGGUACCACAUUGUGGCCAGCUCUCCUGUUGCCCUUAUUUAUCUCAAAGGGAGGUUAGAGGACAAGAGUGACUGCACCUCUACUUGAAACACAUGAAUAACACCUGAAUAUAUGUGUUCUAUUACAGUCCUGGGUAAGAACCAUGAUUAAGCAUUCUUCAGGCUUCAAAUAGUUGGAAAUCCCUGUGAAAUCAGCUUUAAAACAUGCAGAUUAUAUCAAUCUCAGUGGCUGUCGAUUGUAGUGUUUUCCUGAACUGUACUGUAGAUUAAGUUAUAUGUUAACUGUAAAUUGCAAACUAGCAAACCUGCAUGUGAUCUAUUUAGUAGUUCAGUAUAACAGAGAAGACAGGACAAAACUGUAGUCAGUAUAGAAAUGACAUCACUUUCUUACGGAAUAUUUGAGCUAGACAAUGAUCAUUUGUAUGUAGCUUCUGGUUUGUGCACGUAUUUGAAUGUAAAUAUCUUCUGGGUGAACUUCUACUGAGAUACACUCUUUCUUGCAUAUGACAAGCUGUUUACAUGAAGUGGAAAUAAUAGCUAGAGAAGUUUGAAUUCUGGAAUGAUUUGUCUGUUUUUGUCAUAGUUGACAGUUAUACUGCACUUGAUUUAAGUAAUGAUGCUUAAUGGGUGCUUAAUUUCAAUAGUCUCUGCAUGCCUUCCCCAUAAGACUUGAACGGACAUGAAAGAUUGCAUCAGCCUCAAGUACUGCUUUCUUCUUAGGAGCUCCACCUGUUUCUGAAAGCAUCUAUGGAGGACCCCCAUUUUCUGUACUUAGAAGUGAAAGGUUUCCAAGAAAUUUCUCUCGAGAAGUGGGGUACCAGAGUUUGAAGCUGGUAUUUAUGCCCAAAUUGAAUGAGAAAAAUAGAAACAGUGCAUUUCAAACCUCCAGAACUUCAGAAGCAAUAAAUGCUUAUGAAAUGAUUUCUUAAUUUCAGUUAUUUAAUUUGGCAACAAUCAGUUUAACAAGUUUGUGUGGAUCAAUCGUGCAGGACUGUAAGUAAUAGGCCAUUAUUAACUGAAAAUAACAGAUGCAUCAUGCACGCAGUAUUUACCAACAAUUAAACUAAAUUAGGCUAGUGUCGCAAAAACCAGUACUAGUUUUAUCAAGAAUACCUGUAAGCUGUCCCAUUUCUACUAGUAAAUAUACUUUAAAAAAUAAAAUACUUAAUGAUUAAAAGUUGUAUUUUAUUAAUAUACAGAGAUAUUCAGAAUUAUCCCAGCUUACUGAAAAAUAUAAGCUAUAACUUGUGGGUUGGCUAAAUGAAUGCUGGAAAGAUUAUAGUUCAUUUCAUAAUUGAGCAACACUUCUCAUCCUUAAUACUAAAGUAAAGUUCUGUUACAACACCAGGCCUUUCCUGUUCCUUACCGUCUUUGUGAACAUAAACAGCAGUCUUUCUACCUGGUAUGUAAUGUAUUGAAAAGAAUAGUCAUCAAAUAUAAAAUGCCUGCUUUUAUACUGAUUCCUUAAACCAUUAAUAGAUACAAUAAUCAGAAAUAUUCUGUGACCAAAUUUGCUGAUGAUUCUUAGUAACUUUUAUCAUGGAAGUGUUCCCAAAUAUUCAGUAAGUCUUUGACCAUUGUAAUUACUAAUAUUAGGCUCUUCAGAUGUUAUGGUUUCUAUGAAAGCGUUGGAUUAAUGUCCCACAAGCAAGUUACAAGUGCAAAAAAAAGAGUAUUUUGCCUUUGUUUCAGAGCCUAUAACUGCCAGAUUACCUCAUAUCUGUAGCUUGGAAGUUAUUUACAUCUUAUGAUUUCAGUUCAUAUACUUUAAUGCCACUUCAUUUGUUUAUGCUCCGUUCUUAAUUAAUGAAAAAAUGAAACGUGACUUACAAAUAUGGAGAGUGUUACUCAGACUUGCUUUGGAUCUUGUCACCAAAUUUCUGCUAACACCUUUGUAAUUUGAAAUUUAAAAAAGAAAAAACAAAUUAGGAAUUGCAAAUGUAAAUGUAAUUGCAAAAUGUGAAUUUCUUCUUUUUUCCCCAAGGAGUGAUUAGUAAAAGAUGUUGAUAAACAGUGUGACUAGUGAACCUUAAUUUCUUCCGUCCAAGCAAAAAUCUCUAUCCUCACUGAAGACUGAGACUGGUUUCAAACUGUGGUAUAACUGCUCAUUAAACUGCUAUUUAGUGCACACAGAAGUUUCAUUGUGGUGGCAUUAAUUCAGAAGACUCAUUCUUUAACCAUUAUGUUUGUCAAAAGGAGGGACUUCAGUUCUCUGCAACUUCUAGCCCUAUUUCAGUUGACAUUGCUGAGGGAUGGAGGACAGAGGUAGACAGCAAGUAAUGUCAUUUUCCAUGGAAAUCCAUGCAGACAGGAAAGUAGAUUAAAAUGGCCUGUAAAAUGUAUCAGUGAGAGUGAUAGAGAUGUGGGUUGCAAAUUUAGAAAAGUCAGUUUGAAAAAAGAAGCUUUAGCAAAUGGCUUCUAAUGGGUGAAAUUCCACAGUAAUACAAAAUUUUAUUAUUCUGGUAGUUGGAUUAGGACAUGAAGAUGAAUUUCAAUACAUCUUUGAGUAGAAAAGGCACUUUAAUAUAAUCAAAUUCAGUUUUAAUUCAAUAAGGAUGAGAGCUUAUUACUGUCAUUUUCUUAUUUUAUAUAAUUUUAAUUUAUAAUUGGUUCUCUGAUCCAGUUUAGAUCCAGUUCAGUAAAGAUUGUCAGCCUAGCUGUAUGUAAUGGAAUCAGGAACAAGCAAUUGGGAGUGAAGAGAACAGGAAACUUUAUAACCUGCUGUGCUGGUGGAUGUGGAUGCUAUCCCUUAAUUUAGUUCUCAGGUACAUUAACAAAGAUGUUAACAACCUCCCUAGAUCCAGUGUACUUGCCAGGCGUGAUUCACUAGCUGAAUCAAAAGGAAGAGAUAAACUAUUCUACAGGCAACUGUGAGAGGGGUUUCUCCUUUCUCCUGGUUUCUGCUUUUCCACAGGAUUUCAAAAUGAUUGGCUUGUUUUAUAGUUCGAUGUCUAAUAUAUUACCUUGUUUUCCUGUGUAGCCUGAUUUAGUGGUUGAUAGCCCUGCCCAUGGCAGGGAGGGGGUUGGAACUCGGUAAUCUUUUAAGAUCCUCUCCAACCUAAGCUGUUCUGUGAUUCAUAAUUUUUGAAUGCUUUCUGUACUAAGGGUAAAUGAGGAAGAAUGAAAUGUGGUGACAGAGAUUAAACAGGCCAUAUUUCUUUCCUUUCACUAGAGGCAAAAUAUCUUGAUUUGUCAAAUGGAUCAGGUAAAGGCAAGUUGUAGUCUCUUGCUAGAAAGUAAUGGUAAAAAAUGGAACUUUUAAACUUCAUUACAUAGUUAGAUCUCAUCAUUGAUUAAAGGCUGUAAAAUUAUAGUUCAGUGUAAGAUACGACAUAGCUUUACUUCAUGUAUUUAAGAUAGUAGUCUGUUUAACUGAUUGUUCUUCUCUCCAAAGUUUGCCUAAAUUUUCUUUAAGAAACACAGACUUGUUUUUCUUGUUUUUUUGAGAGGGAGGAGUGCUGUCUAGGGGAUUCCUAAGAUGGAUAUUCACUGAGGGACAUGACACACUAGAGAUCUCUUUUAAAACCAUCUAUUUUUAAGGUUACUUACUCACUUAAGUCUGUCCCCUUCACCUCUGAACACCUGAUUGUAAAGACAGCCAUCUUGAUCACAUGCAGCUGACACUGGGAUAUCGAGUCCUCUUGGAAACUGUUAAAAUCUAGUGUGUUCAGCAGGCCUCUGUUUACCCCUUACUGAGCGAUCAGAAAGUAUUUCUGGGAAAAGUUUCUAAAGCAUCAUUUUGCUUCACAUGGGCAUCUUGUUUCCAGGACAGUUUGGACCUGCCUGCAUUUGUUUGUUCUUUGCUGCUCUGUGCAGUCCAGGCUGCAGGGUGCUGUGGAAAGAGAAAGUAGUUUUAGUUCCUCAGCCUUAAUAGAUUUCCUUCGCGAUUUCGUCUUUUCUAAUCAGAAAAGGUAGGCAGGCUUUGUAUGAUCAACUUUGCUUUGUUUUGCUUCCUUUAUGACUAAUAAGCCUAGUUUCUAAAUCAGUCUCUAAAGGAAGUGAGAUUUAUUUGUUUGCACUGUCCAGCUGUUGAUGAGUUUAGGGCCUGCAGGCUGACUUCUGUCAGAACUGACAGAACAGUGAAUGGAGAAAUACUGUGUUUCUGCCACAUCAGAGGAGAGUGGGAACUGGGCUGAGGGACAGCAUAAAAUGGAGGAGGCAGAGGGGGAAAAGUCCCCCAGCCGGCUCUAUUGAGCCCAGAGGCCUAGUGUGCAUGCUCUGGUGCUGGGCUGGCACUGGGAAGUGGCUUUAGCAGUAACUGAGUCUGUGGGCUGGAACUGGGGGGCCUGGAGAGAGACUAGGGAGGGAGAGAUGGAGCCAGGAAGGGAAAUGGAUCCUAGAAGGGCCGUGGCAGUCAUGGAUGAAGAGGGCCUAUGCCUGUACUCUGUGAGAAGACUCCCAGAUGCAUUCGUGAGAGUUUAUCUUUUUAAUUCACUCUGAUAUCAGUGGAAGUCCUGUUAUUUGCAUGUUGCAUAUACAUUGCUUUCUCCUUUUUAACAAUUUCUAGAUAAAGGCCUACUGAGGUGUAGGAGGGCAGACUUUUCUGAGCCUGUCGCUUUAAGUUUAUCAUGCAAUUCUGAAAUGCUUUCCUUUUGGGGCUGAGAUGUCAUUCUCUAACAAUAGAGGCACUUCUGGCACUUGAUAAUUCCUGCUCUUAGAAGGGACCAGGGUGAUAAUACGAUGACAAUCGGAAUAGAAAUGGAAAACUGAGGAGAUAACAUUUCUUUAAUAACAUUUGUUUCUUGACAUUCUGACUUAAGGUACUUGCUGAUAGUCAAAAUUGUCUUUUGCGUGACAAGUGAUGAGAGUGAGAGAGGGUCCAUCAGACACCUCUGGGGACAGAGGUAAAUAGAACAUACUAUGUACAUGUUCUUCAGCAGUAAGACCAUUUGCUUUUCUUCGCCUUAAGAUAGGUAAUAGGCUUCUUGGAGUCCACAGUGAGUUUCCUAUAUGAAUUUCCAGGUACAAGAUGUAGUUUUAAGUAAUCUUUGUUAAAAGAAACUCAAAAGUGAUAUAUUUUUAAAUUAUACAACCUUCUUCCUCAACGUCAGCUUCUGUGAGUCCCGUUGUUCUGUAAUGACAGUGUUAUUGGAUAAUAAGUUCUGAGAAACAUUAUUUAAACUACAUAAAUGUGAUCACCAGCAAUGCCAGUACUUUGCCAUUUGCAUAUACAAGUAAAUUCCUUUAUUAUCUUAAUAGUUGUUCUUCUCUCAUCCCAGUAUACAUAGUCUUGCAGGUUGUUUAUCUCUGCCUGUCGUGGACGUGCAAUCUGCGGUGAUACGUUUGAAGUCCAUUUGAGCUCCCCUGAUUCUUGCCAUAUAUGGCACAAUAAACUGCCCAAAUUUGGUCAAAUAUUUUUAGCCACUUAGUCAUAUGUCUUUUAAUGUGCUGCAUAUGUAAGCUUUUGAUUCACUUAGCAACAGUAUUUUUAUGAGUAGUUCUUGCCAGUUUUUCUUACGUGUAAUUGAAAAACAGGCAAAGUUUGCUCUUUGAUAGGUUGUGUCACUAACAGACGGUCUGGCUUUUUUUAAUAGUGCCGAUCAAUUUUAAGAUAUCCUUUUUUCACAUAUUAUGCAUUUUGGAGGAUUGCAACAAACAUGAGUAUGUAGCAUAUUGAAAUGUAAUACUGAAAGAUCUGAAUUUAACAGUAUUCAGGAGGUUGUGAGUUCUUCUGAUAUAAGUUUAUUUUGCAUUUGAUAAACUGGUAGAUAUUAUGAGAUAGGUAGGAUAUCUGUGGUCAGGCAAAUAGCAUUUUUUCCAGAAAAACAUGAUGUAAUACAUGUGUGAAGCAUGGCUUGGCUAAUGUUUCUGUGAAGUGUAAACAUCUGUGUUUCCUGAAUUGCUUUUCUUCCUGAUCUGUUACUACGUCUUACGAUUAGUUCCUUUCAUUCUGAGUAAGAAAAUGACUUGCAAAGAAAGGUGAUUAUUUUAUUUAAGUGCUUAUUAAUACCAUGUGGGCAUUGUGUGCUGAUGAUAAUAACUAGAAGAAAACGAAGGCAGUAUCCUUGAGGAAUUGGUAGUCUUUAUUGUUGAAGUAUGUUGAUAAACCAGUUAUUGGAAGAAUUGCUGAUUAUAGAGAUGGAAAUUACUAAAAAGAUAAUUUAGAAAAUCCUUUAAGAGGGCACAUUUCAAGAGUACCUGAAAAGGUAGGGAAGAACUUAGGUUUAUGAAAGUUAUUAUUUUAAGAGUGUUUGUUUUUAAUUGAAGAACAAAUAAUGCAAAGUUUGUUGCAGUCUAGUUGCAGUCCAGCAGAAAGAUUACUGAUGAAGAAGCGCAGAGGAGACUUGCUGUUAAAGCAGUUCUUUGUUGCAUUCUAAAUGAAGCUUAAAGUUCAUACCUUACUAAAGCAAAUGGGGUCAAAGAGGGAUAAUUUCUUGCUGUUUUUGUUUGUCUGGUUAAACAGGACAGCAGUGUGUCUCCCAUAUAUUUUAACUGCUGUGUCAGCACUACAGAAUGAGGGAAAGCUUUGAGAUUUGUCUUGGAAAGCACAGUUGCUUAAAUAAGGAAAUCUGCGGUUUUUACAGUAGUAAAGGAGAACGUAAUUUUCAAUCCUGAUUGUUUUAGAAGUAUGCUAAAAAGUAAGAGUUAUACCUUAGUUGCAUUUUUAUGAGACAGAUAAUUCUCUGGAAGGAUUUGGGAGCCUGGUAGUAGCAGUUCUUGUUUCAGUCUUUUCGUUUUGUAGUAUUGUUGAUUUAUUAAGGUAAAAAAAAAAUUAAUAGCAGUCUUGUGGAGUCUGUUUUGAGUCCUUGCUGUCUUGAAGUGCAGAGGGACUUUUGUCUGUGUUACUCUGCCCUUUUAAGGGCAGCAGUA